AAAUGAUUGAUGGUGAUUGAUGUGGCCGGGAUAAAAGAACACGCGCGCACGCACACACACUAAACAGCCCUUCCCCCAUCUCUUCACCAUCCAGGCCAAUCACCAUUAAUCGGCUAAUUGCUUUGCACUUCAGCUCACUGAGUUUGAGGAUUGAAUCACUAUUCAAUUAGAAAAUAGAACUGCUUCAAUUCUCCCAAGGCUCCCACUUCUUUCUGUUUGUCUCUGUCCCCACUCGGUAGCCAUGGUGAUUCUGACAUGAAUGGGUCAUGAGUGUGAUCAAUGAGAUUAUUCCUCCUCCUCUGACAUGUGGAGGUGCGUCACUGGGCAGGAGGGGAAAUACAAUUUUACGGCUGAAGUGCGGAUGCUGUUCAGACAAAACCUUUCAGAAAGCUUUCUCUGCAUUGUUUAUAUAACAAGCAGCUGAUUGUGGAACACAAGUGUCAGCACCACUGUUGAAUCACAGAGGUUUCCCCUGCCCAUCCUUCCUCGGCCUUGUAAAAAUAAACAAAGAAAGAGGUCAGAUAUCUCCCGUGCCUGCCCUGCAGCUCCUGCCCUCCUGAUCCUGGAAGAGAAAGGAAAAGUCAGACAUCUUGUUUUUUCUGCUCUGUCAUGCUCUCUGACACUCACCUGGCAAAGCUCCCCCCUCUGGAACCUCAACUCGCCACUUCCUCUAAUGGACUGCGCUCCUGUGACUCUCACUCCCUGAGCCACCCUGACUACAGGGAUUCCUGCAUUCAAUAAAGUUUUGCGC